GACAAAAUUUUGAGAAUUUCAUUGUAAAUUCAAAUUUUGGUUUUGUUUUGUUUUGUUUUGUUUCUGAUGCUGGGGAUUGAACUCAGGGCCUCCUGUUGCUAAGCAUGUACUCUGUCAUCGAGCCACACUCCCAGCCCCUUAAGGGUGGUUUUCUAUAAUUAACACUCUUGCUUUUCAGAAGCCAGCAUAUAAUCUACAAAACCAAUUUAGAAACAUAUUUCUGUAUAUUUUUAUGUAUAAAAUUUUUUGCCUUUUUCUUGUUACCAAUCAAUAUUCUUUAAUAUUUUUUUAAUAAUCCAAGAAUAUACAUUUAAUAGAACACACUUUUUACCUUUUGAAUCAGUAGAGGAAAAAAGAUAAUACUAAGAUAAAAAGACUUAAAAUUUUGUUCUCAAAAUUUAAUUGUAGUUAUGGAUAGGGAAAACUGUGUUUUUAAAUUUCUGAAACUAAUAGUACAAAUUAGCCUAAUUGUUCCUAAUAUGAAUGAUUUGAUUUUGGUAAGAAUAGUCACAACUCAAGUUGGAGAACCAUACUGUAGUGAACUAAACAUAGAACUUUUGAAAAAAGGAGAACAUUGCAUAAAUGCCCAAUUUUUUAUAACUACCAUUUACUUCUCAACCUCUGAUGAAAUUACAAAACUGUCUUUGAAAUUCUAUGGUGGUUCUAAACUGUUCUCUGAACAAGCUGUGAUAAACUGCUUGAAUGGCCUCUCCAAACUACUGCUAGUAUGUGGGGGCAACAAUGAGACACCAUAAGGACUUGGUACAAAGAACCCCCAGACUGAUAGACUUCCUGAAUCACCAUGUAAGGUUAGGCGUGGCACUCAGUGGUAGAGCACUGGCCCAGCAUGUACAAGGCCUGAGUUUGAUCCCAACACUGAAAAAAAAAAAAAAAACACAGUGAUAAGAGCCUGGUGCUUAAAUGAUCUGAAGAUUACAGCUUAAAUUUCAGCUGCUUACUCUGAACACUGAUGCAUAGUUUUCUUAAGUACAUUGUGCAAAUUAUUCAAUAUUGCAACCUUAAAAAAAAAAAAAGCACCUCGUACUCUGUUAGCUGUUAAAGAAUGUUAACUCAUUUGAGGAAGGAAAAUAUAAACAGAAAUAGUGAACUUACCAAAACAGAUUUUGGAGAAACAAAAUAUGACAGAAUGCACUGCUAUUCAUUGAAGAGGAGGUCCUGAAUCUAGGAGAGGUGACAAUUUAGUGACCAGAAAUUCUGUUGAUGCAGGACCAGUUUAUCAAUUCCCACUGUGACUUGUGAAUAACACAAAUUUUGACUCUAAUUGCAAGCUUUGCUGAACAACCUUCUAAUUGUAAAUAUAGCCUUCAGAUUAUUCUCAUUCAGAAAAAGAAGGAACUCUAGAUGAGGGCACCCAAAUUCCAUUCUGCACAUAGAAAAUUUAGAGGAUCUCUCUGAUUUGUAUUCAUGUGAAUUUAGUUUGUGUGGGUUUUUAAUUCUUUUAAUCAAGUAGAUGAAAAAAAA
rnacentral:lncRNA from 1 species